rnacentral:sRNA from 1 species
UUUCCCCUCUUCUCAAGUGGAAUACUAGAGCAAAGAGAGAGAAACUGACAGAGUUAAUGUUUGAACACUACAACAUCCCUGCAUUCUUCCUUUGCAAAACUGCAGUUUUGACAGCAUUUGCUAAUGGUCGUUCUACUGGGCUGAUUUUGGACAGUGGAGCCACUCAUACCACUG